rnacentral:lncRNA from 1 species
CUAUUUUGUUUCGUCAUGGGAGAAAAAUGAUAAUUUCCCAUACUCAUAGUUCCAGCUGAUGGAGCCCAACGUCAUUAUACCGCAUUGUUUGUGCACAUACAUUACGGACUCCUGGGCUCCGUAACACAAAGGUUUGCGAUGGAUUGCAAAUAUGAAAGAAGCGCGCUGAUUUAUAGUCCCUGGUCAGCACUUUAAACCAAAUGCGCGUGUAACAUUGAUCGCUAAUCUUUGUGUUAUGGAGCCCUGAUCAGAUUCUGAUUGGGUUAUUUUUCAAGUCCGCCGUAUCACACGCCACACGACCUGCCAGAAUUUAUUUUCAAACCAUAAAGAAUACCUUUAUGAUAUCGAGUCAUAAUCGGAUAGGUAUCGGAACGUAGAAGUCAAAUAACAACUCUCAUCAUGUCAACAAUUGGCAAUAGAGUAAAAAAAAAAACGGGUUCUAGUAAAUCUUCGGUAAAUACUUCGUCAACAACGAGCAACAGGGUGAAAAAGAAAGCCCCGGACCUGGUAAGCAAUAAAUGUCGGGACUGUAAGACAACGAUUACUCCUCAAGCUAAAAGGUGCAUUCCUUGUGAAAGUGAAAGGAGGAUCACCAACAAAUGCAUCGACUGCAGGAAAAGUAUUACUGAUUAUGCAGAAAGAUGUCGUGCCUGUGAGAAUAGAAGUAGGCAUUACUAAUUAAAGUCUACUACCAAUCCCAACACAGUAGCUGACCCAGGAGCUGACCGAGGAUCAUCUAGCGACCUAGGCCUACACCUGCGAAAUGAAAAUGUAAAACUCAAAUCUGAAUGCUUCCUUCGUCCAUCAUGUGAUCAAGCGCUGUAAUCUGACAUAUCAUGAGGGAUACAAGAAAAUGUUUUACUACAUUUGCAAAGAUUUACUCAAGGAAUUACGGAGAAUUUACAUAUUUCUUCAAUCUAAUCUUUCAUAUCAGCAAAAAAGGGUAUCAAUUUGUUUAUAUAACUGCCACACGAACACCGAUCCCGUAUUUUUUCUUUCUUAUUGGGACCAAGAAGGACGUAAUUACGAUACGACAUGAAAAAUGAACAUUCCGAGCAGUUUUGGUACUGACCAGAACAUAAACUUCGAAAGACUGCAUUUUGUGACUCAUGAAUAGAAUACGGGCUUAAUAUCUCACCAAUCUAAUAAUGCGAGAGCAAGCUAAAAUGGCAAUAUUUGCUUGCUUACAAGCAUUCAUGAUCUCUUAUUAGUCUGGUAAAAGAAAUCAUUACCAAGUUGUUAUAGCGUUUAUGAAUUGGCAUAUGUAUGUACUGUAUGAUGUAUCGAGCUCGUUCUUGUUCUAGUUGUAAAAGCCAACCCUCUUCCCGUGAGUUGUCAAACUCAUUCUAAAACAGAAUUUAAAUUGGGGGGAAAUCAUGUAUAGGCUGUAUAUAAUGUGAUUGAGAAUUUUGGCAUAAUGCUUAAAUACAAGGAAUACAAUUAUUCAGGAAUUAGGUGGAAAGCAUAUAGACAUGAAUUAGAUUACAUAAAUUGCAAGUAAAUGAAAUUUAUCUCUAAAUAAUUCUUGAAAGUAAUUGUUUAAAAACCAAGAUUGGUGGUGAUCAACAAUCUAUGCCUUUCUAGAAUACGAAAUUAAGAUUAUCAUUAUUAUCAUUUGAUCCAUUAUAGUGCCUUCUUCUAAAGAUGCCUAAGCAAACAUUAUAAUUUUUUUUACUAUUUUCUUCGACUGAGUUUUGCAGCUGUAAAUCAGUUACAUGUUUUCAGUUUAAAUGAUUGUUACGAUGGUAUUGAAGAAAAGAAAGCCAAAUAUAUUUGUAUGUAUUCUUCAUGGUUUGUCACGAUUGAUAUGAUGAUUUCCGAUCACAUAUGUCUAAACAUGUGGAGAAAUACCAAUGAAUAUGGAAUUUUCCAGCAUUUACUCUCAUCAUAAACCAUGUAAAUCGGCAGUUCCUUAAGAUAUGUACAUUUGAUCUCGUAUAUGUAGGACCUUUCAGAAAAAAAUUCUACCUUCUAUGGAAAAAUGUAAUGAUAUCAUAUCAUCAUGGCUUGAGCAGGUUGUAAAGGAAAUCGGACAUAUUACAAAAGGCAAAUUAUUUUCUUGGCAAUUUGCCUCACACAAUAAAUUUUUGCUUAAACUC